UACGUAGGGUGCAAGCGUUAAUCGGAAUUACUGGGCGUAAAGCGUGCGCAGGCGGUUGUGCAAGACAGAUGUGAAAUCCCCGGGCUUAACCUGGGAAUUGCAUUUGUGACUGCACGGCUAGAGUGUGUCAGAGGGGGGUAGAAUUCCAACGUGUAGCAGUGAAAUGCGUAGAUAUGUGGAGGAACACCGGAUGGCCGAAGGCAGCCCCCUGGGUCAAGAUUGACGCUCGAUGCACGAAA
rnacentral:rRNA from 1 species